UACGUAGGGGGCAAGCGUUGUCCGGAUUUAUUGGGCGUAAAGAGCGUGUAGGCGGUCUGGUAGGUCCGUUGUGAAAACUCGAGGCUCAACCUCGAGACGUCGGUUGAAACCGUAUGGCUAGAGUCCGGAAGAGGAGAGUGGAAUUCCCGGUGUAGCGGUGAAAUGCGUAGAGAUGCGGAGGAACACCGAUGGCGAAGGCAGCCCCCUGGGCCAACACUGACGCUCAGGCACGAAAGCGUGGGGAGCAAACAGG
rnacentral:rRNA from 1 species